GUACCAGACUCCUACGGGAGGCAGCAGUGGGGAAUAUUGCACAAUGGGGGAAACCCUGAUGCAGCGACGCCGCGUGAGUGAAGAAGUAUCUCGGUAUGUAAAGCUCUAUCAGCAGGGAAGAAAAUGACGGUACCUGACUAAGAAGCCCCGGCUAACUACGUGCCAGCAGCCGCGGGAAUACGUAGGGGGCAAGCGUUAUCCGGAUUUACUGGGUGUAAAGGGGGCGCAGACGGCGAUGCAAGCCAGGAGUGAAAGCCCGGGGCCCAACCCCGGGACUGCUCUUGGAACUGCGUGGCUGUAGUGCAGGGGGGGCAGGCGGAAUUCCUGGUGUAGCGGUGAAAUGCGUAGAUAUCAGGAGGAACACCGGUGGCGAAGGCGGCCUGCUGGACUGCAACUGACGUUGAGGCCCGAAAGCGUGGGGAGCAAACAGGAUUAGAUACCCUCGGAAG
rnacentral:rRNA from 1 species